GACGAACGCUGGCGGCGUGCUUAACACAUGCAAGUCGAACGGUGAAGCGCUUGCCUUUUUGGUGGGUGUGGAUGAGUGGCGAACGGGUGAGUAACACGUGAGUAACCUGCCCUCUUCUUCUGGAUAACCUCAUGAAAGUGGGGCUAAUACGGGGUAUUCCGGGUCUGUCGCAUGGCGGGUUUGGGAAAGAUUGCGCCUUUGGGUGUUUUCGGUGGGGGAUGGGCUCGCGGCCUAUCAGCUUGUUGGUGGGGUGAUGGCCUACCAAGGCGGUGACGGGUAGCCGGCCUGAGAGGGUGGACGGCCACACUGGGACUGAGACACGGCCCAGACUCCUGCGGGAGGCAGCAGUGGGGAAGAUUGCACAAUGGGCGCAAGCCUGAUGCAGCGACGCCGCGUGAGGGAUGGAGGCCUUCGGGUUGUGAACCUCUUUCGCCAGUGAAGCAGGCCUGCUCCUGUGUGGGUGGGUUGACGGUAGCUGGAUAAGAAGCGCCGGCUAACUACGUG
rnacentral:rRNA from 1 species